AAAACUUUCAACAAUGGAUCUCUUGGUUCCGGCAUCGAUGAAGAACGCAGCGAAAUGCGAUAACUAGUGUGAAUUGCAGAAUUCCGUGAAUCAUCGAGUCUUUGAACGCACAUUGCGCCCCCUGGUAUUCCGGGGGGCAUGCCUGUCCGAGCGUCA
rnacentral:rRNA from 2 species